UACGUAGGGGGCAAGCGUUGUCCGGAAUUAUUGGGCGUAAAGCGCGCGCAGGCGGUGGUUUAAGUCUUGUGUUUAAUUCCAAAGCUCAACUUUGGAUCGCAUGGGAAACUGGGAGACUUGAGUACAGAAGAGGAGAGUGGAAUUCCACGUGUAGCGGUGAAAUGCGUAGAUAUGUGGAGGAACACCAGUGGCGAAGGCGACUCUCUGGUCUGUAACUGACGCUGAGGCGCGAAAGCGUGGGGAGCAAACAGG
rnacentral:misc_RNA from 1 species